UGGGGAAUUUUGGACAAUGGGCGAAAGCCUGAUCCAGCAAUGCCGCGUGUGUGAAGAAGGCCUUCGGGUUGUAAAGCACUUUUGUCCGGAAAGAAAUCCUUGGCUCUAAUACAGUCGGGGGAUGACGGUACCGGAAGAAUAAGCACCGGCUAACUACGUGCCAGCAGCCGCGGUAAUACGUAGGGUGCAAGCGUUAAUCGGAAUUACUGGGCGUAAAGCGUGCGCAGGCGGUUUGCUAAGACCGAUGUGAAAUCCCCGGGCUCAACCUGGGAACUGCAUUGGUGACUGGCAGGCUAGAGUAUGGCAGAGGGGGGUAGAAUUCCACGUGUAGCAGUGAAAUGCGUAGAGAUGUGGAGGAAUACCGAUGGCGAAGGCAGCCCCCUGGGCCAAUACUGACGCUCAUGCACGAAAGCGUGGGGAGCAAACAGGAUUAGAUACCCCUGGUAGUCCACGCCCUAAACGAUGUCAACUGGUUGUUGGGGAUUCAUUUCCUUAGUAACGUAGCUAACGCGUGAAGUUGACCGCCUGGGGAGUACGGUCGCAAGAUUAAAACUCAAAGGAAUUGACGGGGUCAUAGCUGUUU
rnacentral:rRNA from 1 species